GGAAAUUCUUACUGUUUGCUCAACCACUAUCUAACUUAAGCUUAUCGUAUUAUGUUAGAUAUUGUGAAACAAUGUGAUCACGUUACUGUUAAAGCUCAAAAAAACUCCUUUGAGUUAUCAAAAAUAUUUGUUGGAUCAAAAUUUAUCGUUCCUCUUUACAAUUACAAGAACAUGUUCUAGCUUUGAGAAAGGGGACUUCUUGUAGUAACUUGUUUCGCUAAC
rnacentral:misc_RNA from 1 species